rnacentral:rRNA from 1 species
CGACUUUCGAACGCAUAUUGCAGUCUUGGUCACACCUUGACUUCGUUUGUCUGAGCGUCGUUAAUAAGCCAAAAACUAUCAAAAGGCCCGCUACCGUCGUGUUUGUCUCCGUCACAAACUCGUCGGGCCAAUUUAAACACUAACAAAAUGCCUUUCUCAUUUUGAAAUGCCCAUACGUGCGUAGAAACGGUAUACAUACUGGUUUUGCGUGUAGACUACCCGUCUAAUGUAUGGCUUUUGGCAAUACAUGUCAAAAUGCCUGAGCAAAUCCACCAAAGUGUGUUGUGUCUCUACAUUAAGCCACGAAUGGUUGUCAUCUUCAUGCAUGAGUCUAAAAAAGUGCAAUAGUGUUUCAAAUUUUGAUAUACUUGUUACAUUCAUUUGUGACACUUGUUAACCUUCGACCUCAGAUCAAGCGAGAUUACCCCCUGAAUUUAAGC